CCUGGAAGAAAACCAUCAAAUGGCAGAGGCAGAAAUGUUUACUUCUAAGAAACAGUAGGACAGAUCUGAUUGAUUUGGACUGAGGCAUACUGACAAUUCAACAGUAGCUGGCUGAAAUUGCCUUUUCCAACUGGAAUAGGCAAGCCUCAUCGAGAGCACUGUAGUCAGCCCGCACCUGCUGCAGGAAUCCUUUGCAGUACUUCCGAGGCAACGCGCAUCUUGGAGCAGGUGCUGACAAGUUUCCAGAGGAUUUCUAUCAAGUCACACUCUCAGAAACCUGACAAUAUCAGAUCUCCACACCCUUGUCAGCAUUUGCUUUGCCGAAGGAACGCUAUGAACAAAGCAUGCAGGCAUGAAUGUGUGUCAUAUGCUCAGGGAAGGGCGAGCAUAACAGAAAAACCAGACCCAAGCUAUUCCAGACACAUGAUGUUAUUUCUUCAAGACCUCCAAAAACAGGAGACUCCACCACCUUCUCAGUCCAUUUCAACAUCUACUGAUACUUACAGCCUGGAAUUCUAUGUCUCUAAACCAAGUAUCAUGUGCUGCUUUAAGAUGAAACCUGCUAUUCUUGUUCCAUAGUCAAAAAAAUAAAAAUUCUGGUUAUCAUUCUCUUCAA